AGAGUUUGAUCCUGGCUCAGGAUGAACGCUAGCGACAGGCCUAACACAUGCAAGUCGAGGGGCAGCACGUCUUCGGAUGGUGGCGACCGGCGCACGGGUGAGUAACGCGUAUGCAACCUGGCCGUAAGAGGGGGAUAGCCUUCCGAAAGGGAGAUUAAGACCGCAUAGUAUGAUUAUGCUGCAUGGCAUAAUGAUUAAAUAUUUAUAGCUUACGGAUGGGCAUGCGUUUCAUUAGAUAGUUGGUGAGGUAACGGCUCACCAAGUCGACGAUGAAUAGGGGAACUGAGAGGUUGGUCCCCCACACUGGUACUGAGACACGGACCAGACUCCUACGGGAGGCAGCAGUGAGGAAUAUUGGUCAAUGGACGGAAGUCUGAACCAGCCAAGUCGCGUGAAGGAAGACGGCCUUAUGGGUUGUAAACUUCUUUUGUUGGGGAAUAAAGUGCGCCACGUGUGGUGUUUUGUAUGUACCCAACGAAUAAGCAUCGGCUAACUCCGUGCCAGCAGCCGCGGUAAUACGGAGGAUGCGAGCGUUAUCCGGAUUUAUUGGGUUUAAAGGGUGUGUAGGCGGUUUAUCAAGUCAGUGGUGAAAGUUCGGGGCUUAACCUCGAAAUUGCCAUUGAAACUGGUAGGCUUGAGUACAGUGGAGGUAGGCGGAAUUCGUAGUGUAGCGGUGAAA
rnacentral:rRNA from 1 species